rnacentral:rRNA from 1 species
CUAACCUGCCCACUGAUUUAUUAAAGGGCCGCGGUAUAUUGACUGUGCAAAGGUAGCAUAAUCAUUUGUCUUUUAAUUGAAGGCUGGAAUGAAUGGUUGAAUGAAGUAUAAGCUGUCUCAUUUUUAAAAGUAUAAAAAUUUAGCUUUUAAGUCAAAAGGCUUAAAUAAAGUUAGAGGACGAGAAGACCCUAUAGAUCUUUAUAUUAAAGUAUUAUUAAUUAUUUUAGAUUUUUAAAAAAUUAAUUUUAUAAAAUAUUUGGUUGGGGUGACUAGAAAAUUUAAUUAACUAUUUUUAUUUUAUUCCAUUGAUGAAUGAGUUAUUGAUCCAAUAAUAUUGAUUAAAAAAUUAAGUUACCUUAGGGAUAACAGCGUAAUUUUUUUAGAGAGUUCUUAUCGAUAAAAUAGAUUGCGACCUCGAUGUUGAAUUAAAGAU